rnacentral:rRNA from 1 species
CCUACGGGAGGCAGCAGUGAGGAAUAUUGGUCAAUGGGCGCGAGCCUGAACCAGCCAAGUAGCGUGAAGGAUGACUGCCCUACGGGUUGUAAACUUCUUUUAUAAAGGAGUAACGUGAGGCACUAGUGCCUUUUUGUAUGUACUUUAUGAAUAAGGAUCGGCUAACUCCGUGCCAGCAGCCGCGGUAAUACGGAGGAUCCGAGCGUUAUCCGGAUUUAUUGGGUUUAAAGGGAGCGUAGAUGGGUUGUUAAGUCAGUUGUGAAAGUUUCCGGCUCAACCGUAAAAUUGCAAUUGAUACUGGCAGCCUUGAGUACUGUAGAGGUAGGCGGAAUUCGUGGUGUAGCGGUGAAAUGCUUAGAUAUCACGAAGAACUCCGAUUGCGAAGGCAGCUUACUAAACUGCCACUGACAUUGAUGCGCGAAAGUGUGGGUAGCAAACAGGAUUAGAUACCCGAGUAGUC